rnacentral:miRNA from 1 species
UCCCUUCCGGCCGAUGAGGUACAACAACCUCAUCGACCGGAAGGGAUUCCUUCCGGUCGAUGAGGGUGUUUUACCUCAUCGACCGGAAGGGA